UUGAAGGGUUAUAUCGAAGAGUCAAAUGAUAGAGUAACGCCUUGAAGGGCUCUCUCUUAGUCGAAUAGCACUUGAUUUAGUAAGAAUGAUCGUGUUAUAAGCUCGGUGAAAAGGGAGCUAUAAC
rfam:Bacillus sp. FJAT-27997 Scaffold1, whole genome shotgun sequence.